AGCAUAUCAAUAAGCGGAGGAAAAGAAACCAACAGGGAUUGCCUCAGUAACGGCGAGUGAAGCGGCAAAAGCUCAAAUUUGAAAUCUAGCACUUUCAGUGUUCGAGUUGUAAUUUGAAGAAGGUAACUUUGGUUUUGGCUCUUGUCUAUGUUCCUUGGAACAGGACGUCACAGAGGGUGAGAAUCCCGUGCGAUGAGAUGCCCAAUUCCAUGUAAAGUGCUUUCGAAGAGUCGAGUUGUUUGGGAAUGCAGCUCUAAGUGGGUGGUAAAUUCCAUCUAAAGCUAAAUAUUGGCGAGAGACCGAUAGCGAACAAGUACAGUGAUGGAAAGAUGAAAAGAACUUUGAAAAGAGAGUGAAAAAGUACGUGAAAUUGUUGAAAGGGAAGGGCUUGAGAUCAGACUUGGUAUUUUGCGUUCCCUUCCUUUUUGGUUGGGUUCCUCGCAGUUUACUGGGCCAGCAUCGGUUUGGAUGGUAGGAUAAUGACAUUGGAAUGUAGCUUUACUUCGGUGAAGUGUUAUAGACUUUGUUGAUACUGCCUAUCUAGACCGAGGACUGCGUCUUUGACUAGGAUGCUGGCGUAAUGAUCUUAAGCCGCC
rnacentral:rRNA from 1 species